GAGUGGAAGAUAAAAUCAGAGUACAAGAGAUGAAGUGCUAAGGCACAGAGGUGUCACAUCAACAUAUGACGAGUUACAGGUAGUUACAAAACAGUACACCCAGACCAGGUACUGUUAAGGCUAUGACACAGUGGAUAGAACACCGGAAGAGAAUAUGACAUAGCAGCACCAAGCAACAGUGGGGAGAAGGCGUGGAGAAGAGAUGAGAGAGAGCACAGUACCCAGUCUAAAUUACCCUCAUUAAAUGGCUGGUGCUGGCCCCUGCAUGGGAGUUUGGAGAAGAGCUUGCCAGGAUGAGUUGGAUGAUGGCUGUUCCUCCUUUGUUGCUUUUUGUGUGUGUUGCAGUCUGGCAGAUGGCCAUGAAUUGACGUGUUUGUGGCAAGUGCUUGUCGUCUGCUUCCAGGAAAAAGGAAAUGGGAGACCUGAGAGUGCUCUGCUGGGAAGCGUGGCGGCAGGCCCUGAGUUGACCUACCCGUGUUGUGCCCUUGUCCUCUGGGCCCUGUGUGGAGGAAAUGGAGUCCUGGCUCUGCCGUACUGGAAAGAUAAGUUAAACCAAGCGAUACCGUGCUAGUUUUCCCGAGGCCUGAAAUCUGCUGAGCUCUGUGGUCAAGGGAGCUGGUGUGACCUGAGCUACGGCCUGCAUCAGCUCGUGUAACCACAGUUGUGUCCUUAUUCCAGUGCUGCAGUGGCUGGUGCUGGCCCCUGCCUGGGACUUUGGAGAAGAGGUUGCCAGGAUGAGUUUCUAUAAUGCAUCAGCAGCCCGGGCAGUCAUGCAAGUGAGCAGGUGAGCAAGGUGUGAGAGGAGAGGGCAGGGAGGAGAAGAACGGGACUGGCCAGAGUUGAUAGCUCAUGGUUGCUCCUCCUUUCUUGCAUUGUGUGUCUGCUGUACCCUGUUUUUUUUUCCAUGAGUCGACCUGUCCGUGUCAUGCUCUUGUCAUCGCCAUCGUGUAUGAAGGAAACGGUGACCUGACACUGCUCUCCUGCAAAGAUAAGUUAUGCGACCCCAUCCCUCAGCCUAGCUUUCCUCAGGCUGCAAUCUCCCUACCUUGAGUGCUGAAGGGAGCGGUUCCAAAACGAGCUAGGGCCCGCAAGAGUGUCUGUAACCACAGUAGUGUCCCUGCUGCAGGGAGUGAAAUGCUGGUGUUAGCCCCUACGUCUGGAGCUUUGAGAAGAGUUUUGAAGGACGACUUGAAAGAACGCUGCAGCAGCCAUGGCUGUCCUGCGAGUAGGCGGGCCUUGAGAGUGACAUUACCAAGACAUUGGACAUCUCUUUCCUCUGCCAGUUCUCCAGAUCCUUUUGAGAGCGGACUGGCCUUCUAUAAAGACAGGAAGACAUUUACCUUAGGACUGAGAAACAUGCAGACUGUGGCUGGCCCAUAAUGAUCUGAUUUCAGCUGGAAUAUAUGUGUAGCCUUGGACAAAGGGAUUUCAUCACCAAUCACCUUCUGUUUCUGAACCAUCUGAAAAUACAUUUUUUUUUUCUUA